AAGAUCUUACCCAUUUUGAUGAAAUUAUUUAUCAACUAUCUAUCAGUUUAUAAAACAAAAAUAAAAUAACAAAAUAAAUAAAUUCAAGUUUUAAAACACAGCUCGUCUCUCGUCACUAGAUUAUGAUUCUCUAUUUAGAUGUGCAUGUAGAUUAAAAAAAUCAAUGAUGGUACACCGAGAACUUGUUGGGUAUAACCAUCGAGAUUACAGCCGGCGAUGUAUGAAAAAAAAAUCGUAAUAUACUACAGUGUCUGCUGAACUCCAAUCAUUCACUCGAUACUCGAUGCAACGCUGAUAUGACGCUAGUUUACUUCUGGGUGCUCGGCCUUCUUGGAUUACAAUCACAACUAAACGCAGAUGCUUUUUUUCUGCAAACAAAAUGCGCAAGUGAGUUCGAGUACAGGGAAACGUUCAUUUGUCUUCCGUAGUAUACCUGGUAGCUGUCAUAUUGAUGUACAAAAAAAAAUUCGCUGUCGUCGAGAGUAAAGAAUUUGGCGGUAAAUUUGAAAAUUGAACAAAUCAAAUAAAUUUAGGAGGAUGGAAAAAUAAACUGGUAAAAUUAUUUAUUAAAAAUUUUAUAAAAAUUUUUUAUUGGUAAGUCGGAUUAACUUUAAAAUCUAGGCGUUUCUUAAUACAAUUACAAUACAUAUUAAUUAUAAUAAUAUUUGAUUGAGAGAGAACAAGUAAAAAGUUCAUUAAAAAAAAGUAAUUAAAUUAAAUAAGAAAAACUUGGUCAUCUGCGAGCAUUAUUUGAUUAUUUUCAGUCAUUUUGUGUAAAGCAGCUUUUAUUUCUCCGGCAGUGAACUCGGGAGUGUGAUUUUUAUUGACAAACUCUUUUACUUUGUCAAGAGCAAGAGUUUGCGAGCGUUGCUGUUGGAAUAAU